AGUGAACGCUGGCGGCGUGCCUAAUACAUGCAAGUCGAACGAAGUGGCGCACGGGUGAGUAAUAUAUAGUUAAUCUGCCCUACACAGAGGAACGACAGUUGGAAACGACUGCUAAUACCUCCUAGUGUAGGAUGAGACUAUAUCGUAUCAGCUAGUUGGUAAGGUAAUGGCUUACCAAGGCUAUGACGAGUAACUGGUCUGAGAGGAUGAUCAGUCACAGUGGAACUGAGACACGAGUCAAAAGCCUACGGGAGUGAGCAGUAAGGAAUAUUGCGCAAGGGGGGUGACCCUGACGCAUCUACGGCUCGUAGAGGAUUACACUUUUCGGAGCGUGAACGCCAUUUAUCAGGAAAGCGGUACCUGCUGAAUAAGCACCGGCUAACUCCGUGCCAGCCGCCGCGGUAAUAC
rnacentral:rRNA from 1 species